AACAUAAAAAAGAGAAUCAGAAAAUGAACUUUGAGAAAAAUUUAGGUAAAUGUUUCUCGAAGGUUUGAAUCAUUAAACAAUAACAGAAAACUUAACAGACAAUUGGUUUUAGUAUUAUUAAGUGUAAAAUGAUUUGAGACAUAAAAAAGGCAAUUACAUCUGAAGGUAAAGAACAUUCUCAUUUGUUUCAAGGUUUUAUGUGCGUUUUCUUUCUUUUAUCCCUAUCGUACGCUUUCGAUCACGUUCGUAUGCUUCAGAUCAGAAUCGACACCCUUUAAACCAAACGACAACACCGAAUCCUUGUGUGUUGUUGUGAAUUUCCAUCAUGAGCUCGAUUCCUUCUCCAGAGGUAGGUCCUUACCACCCAUUCAACCCUUAUCUGAUGGAUGGCGUUUUCCGACGGCUUCUCAUUCGAGGCAAAGAAGCAGUGGAUUAAGAUUUUGCCAUCUCUCACCCUAAAACUGCUUAUCAGCGAGGAAGCGAACACACUCGACCGGGGUGCCGGGUAAAGGACUCGCUGUCGAAGCUGUCGGAGGUUGGGGACACGUUUGUUUACGUUUACUCGCGACCAGGAUACGAUCGAGCAAACACUUCUCGCGCGUCCUUCGAAGCGAGAAGAGAGAGCACCGAAACAACAUCCAUCCGACAGCGCGAUGGAAAGGACAUUGAUAAGGACAACAAUCCUGUUUCACAGCACACAUGCACACGCGUCGUAGAGAUUGGUCGAAUGAUGAAGCUGGCGUGCGGAAGAUAAGAUGGCUGCCAGAUGAUGAAGGACGGUAGCGACGGUAGAAAGGGCAUAUCGCACGGGUUGUGUUCGACCGAAGAAUGGUCGCGAUGUGGUGGUGGUUCGUGCCGUUGUACACGGCACUUCUGUUGCUGGGCGAUUGCUGAUACGGAAAAGCGAUAUAAUGUUAUUAAGAGGCUAUCAAAACAAACCACAUACAAAUACACACAUACGGACGCACGAUGGCCCUUACCCUUUUGGAAGGAGCUUAGAAAGCCGACCACACACCGCAAAGUCCUGAAAGGGGAAACGAGAGCACAAAGACGACGACGAUUGAGAGCAGGAACCAGAUAACGAAGCUGGAGAGUGGAGCCCAUGUGUUGGAAAAACGUCUUCCAUGUUGUAUGGAAUUGAGUGUGAGGGAAAAGUUGGAAAAGUUUUGCUUUUUCGUGGUGGUGAUGGUGUUGGUGAAGAAACUACAUGAAAAAGGGCUAGACGAUGGGACAUGAAUUUGCAUGAAGGGUAAAAAGGUUGAGUUGGAUGGCGUGGGGUGUUGAGGUGUGGCAUAUCGCACAUGUACACACCAUUAACGUGAGCUUGGUGUCAUAAAACUGGUUGGGAAAUGGGAUUUAUGGCGAAAUUAUUUUAAUUAACAAGCGGCUUAGUCUCCUGGAGAUGAACAACUUUUUUCCAAUAAUUCUUCAAUUCAUGAGUUAUCAAUUCUGGGAACAUUUGGAUUCAUUUUAAGAAAAAAUCUUUCAUUGUGAUGAUGAAAUAUCUAUUUUUGGAAGAAUAAUUUAAUUGUAAUAUCUUCGUCAGUUAUUCAAAUGUAUUCACAAAUUUAUGUUAAACAUUGUGCGAACUGCCAAUAUCAUAGAACUGAAUCUAAAUCGAAAAUUCAAACACGAUUUCAAACAAAUUAUUGAUUACAAACGAUUUAGUGCUGUACAACGUGCCUAAUUCUUCUAUUUAUCUUUACACCACCAACAGUUGCUUUGUUCAAAUAGACCGGUUCGUCCACCGAAAAGGAUCAUUCACGUACUCGACAUCACUAAACACUGCCGGUCGGAUCCCUCGCGACGUAAAAAAGAAUUCCAACCCAUUUCCGACACCCAUUAGCAGACGAGGCACGACUUGCCAGUGCUGUGUUUGUGAUUGUGUCUGUGCUGGUGCCGUUUUACAGCUGUCCGAACGACAAAACGUCCUUCCGGUAUGUUGCUUACCGUUGGGAGUCUCUUUCAAGGUGAAUCCAUUCGGACAUGGAUACCAUUUUUUUUGCUCUCAAUGACGAAAGUAGUAGAAGAAGAGGGACUGAAGGUGGUAAGGAAGCGAUAAUCUUCUCAAAUGGAUCAAAUUUAAUUUCCGUUUCAUUCUCAGACAUCUACCCACGUGCUCGUUUUGAGUGAGAAGUUGUGGAAGGAACCGUCGGAUGAGACUCGUGAGUGAUGAGUGACGAGAGAGAGAGAGAGAGAUGGUGGAAAUUUGGAUUGUUUGGAAAUGUUUUUGAAAACGUCUGAUAGGGAAAGGACACUCUGAUGGACACCUUUUUGGAGUCUCGUCUAUGGUUCUUUGCAGGAUGCGUUCACCUGACCGGCAGAUAAAGCUCAUCACGAGCAUGUAACACUUUACUUCGUGAGACUCCUGUAUUUUUUGGGCAACAUUGUAUUUGUUGGAGUGUAUUCGCGUGUUUUAUCUCACCUACACUGUGCUUGACUGGCAGUUAAAAUUCAACCCCAAUCCUCAUCAGCAGCAAAACAGCAACGAUGCAGCAGCAUAAACACAUUUAAGCCUCACUGUUUGCUGGUGACAAAGCAUUCCCUCUUCCCAUUCAUUUGGUCGGUGUUACGGAAGGAAGGAGACCAGAAGAGUGGUCGUAAAAAAUGAUAAACGAAUGAUAUUUUACAUCAUAUCGUGCACCUUUUUUAAUCCUCUCAUUUUCCAUCAUCAGCAUCAUCGUCGCCAUCACAACAAUCGCGAUGGCGCAAACUGGGAGGGUUGCUUUGGCGGGUGACGGAUCAUGGCUGGUAUCGUUCAUUUCCUGUUGAUGGAAUGGGUCCCAGGGACGGGGGAAGGAAAAAUAGGAAGGACGCGAGCGAUAAGAGCCAGUUUUAAAAUCAUACCUUUCGGACAUUGGACACCGUGGCGAGAUACUACUAAUCGUGAAAAUGGUCUGUCGACGAAUAAAAAAUAUCAUCCCAGUUCCGGUAAAGGAAAGACAACAUCUUUACCCUUCGAAAGCGAACCAAGUCCCAAACUUGCUGACACUGCGUGACUGUUUAGUGUCGCGAAAAAUCGCGAAUAAUCACACUUUGAGGAUAGCUGACAAGGUUAACAGAAUGGAAGGGAUACUGGGAAAAGUACACAAUCAGUGCCUGGCGAUCGGAUUUAUUUAAACCGGGGCAACCCUCCACUCAACUGUGCAGGAAAAACCUCAUCUGCAAAUCUCCAUCAUAAUCCUGCUGUAAAGUGAGAUAAUGGAAUGAAAAGCAACCUUUCAGUGAGAACAAAACACUUCACACUAGGUGAGAAACGCCUGACAGUGAGAUGAGAAACAAUAAAUAUCUCAGGCAAAGCGAUGCAUCCAUGGAGGCGCCUAGUCGCUGGUGAUCGAUGCGAGUUGCUGUUUGACGUUUUGCCGAUUCGUAUGACAAUUGUAAACUACAUCAACAGUACUGAAUGUAGCCAGGAGAAGGAUCGACGUUAUCAGUCGGACAAUGCGGAUAAGCGAGCACUGACGGACUGACUGACAACCGUCGAUUUCAGGAAAAAAGGGAAACGCAAAAAACGAGUUUUCAUUUGAUUAGAAAUGCAACCAACAGAGUUGUGCAGUGGGACAAGUAAGAGGCAGAUAUCGAUGCACUGUCAUGAAAAAUGGGAAAAACCAAUGCCAGGGAAAUCAUACCAACGCGAAUCGGCAGGAUGAGAGAUACAAAAAAAAUACACCAGGAUGGGAACAAACAUGUCCAUCCAUCCGCAUUCUGGCCGGAUGUCUAAUCUCGCAAACGUCAACCGAGAAAACUGGUGGAACGUUCUCAUCCACGUUCACAUCAUCACCGGGACCCAUAGGAGGAGGAGAAGAACCACAUUUGAGCUGAUAGUGGAAAACUGAGAAGCAAAACUUCCCACCGUGGAAGAGGAAGUGCGGUGACAUUCGAUAGUGAUAAGCCCGUUACCGAUAGAUUCCAACUGUCGAAAAGAGUUUGACGUAGGGGAUUCUUUUUUGGUUCCUCUUUUUUUGUGAAGGUGAUCUUUACAAGGUUGGAAUUCAUCAUCGCGAAAACCCCGUUCCCUGGUGCUUAUUGAUUUGAUGCACUCACAUGCCACACUGUGAAGGAAGGUAUCGAAGAAUACAAGGACCUUUUUUGUUGGAAGUAUCGGAAGGACUGUGUUGACGGCUGUUUAGAAAUCAGUGUAAGGGUUGAUUCGUUGCAACUGUUCUUUGUUGUGAGUGAGAUGGAGUCUUGUCACGUGAGGAAAAUUAAAGGAAAGAACGAGACCGUCACACGACUCUGGGAAAGGAUCCUCACGUGGAGGAAAAAAAACCUCCAAACAAUGACGAAACCACCCAAACACACAACACAACGCACCAUUGUGCCGGAAGAAUCGUUGUCGUUGCAUCGCGGUGCAUUCGAAAUGCAUUCGACUGUGUUUGCCGUCGGUUGCCGUCAGUUGUUUCAAUUGAUAUCCGUCGAACCGUCAUCCAGCUCUUAGUUCGUUCGCGGAUCGUUGCUGAUGGCGAUGACGCGUUGGACUUUCGUUUGGCGUUCGAUUAGGAACGAAUUUCCCUGGCCCAUGGUGGUUCAUCUUCGCCAGAAUACUGCCAGAAUGGUUGCUGAUGUUUGGAUCUAAUUCAUCAAACCAUCCAUCGCUCGAGCUGAAGGCCGUUCGGUUCGAUUUUCCCACCAUACAACACAUUUCCUUCUGGGGGAGAAAUACAUUUCACCAGACUGAAGUUGGAUGGAAAGCGUUGGCAAUCUCCAUUUACAAUCAAACUGCAGCUCGAAUGCACCUUCUCCGGUCGGAAACGGGCAUUCAAAUUGGGGGGAAAAUGCCUCUUUCCACGGGAUGAAUUUUCUCGUUGGGGGAAACACGCAGGAAAAAAGAUGCCUCCGAUGGAAAGUGCGUGAUUGCAUUCCACGUUGCGUUCGAUGUGAAGCACUGUUGCAGUAGAAAAGUGCGCGUUUCUUGUGCUGUGUCGCGGUUUCAUUUUUAUGCCUGCCAGUGCCUUCCAUUCAGCUAGGCUGCUGUGCAGGCAAUGGACCAUUGGAGCGAAAUUCGAAUGCAGUUUUCUGUUGGACGAUGACGGAAGGUCCUUUGCUCUGUACUAGAAACCGUUUUUCGUGGAAUGUCGCCAGUUUUUCUCGGUUUGUGUAGAAGAAAGUGGAAAGCAGUGCGGCGCAGGGAUGCUUUCGGGUCAAUUGUAAUCGACCGUUGAUGCACUGAAGUUCAAACAUCGUCCGCGAGCUGCAUAGAGAAUGUCAGAAAGGACAAAAAAACAGUGACCACGUACGAAACAACGGACGCAAUGAUCUGUCCUGUGGUUCUGCCGCAUGUUCACUCUUGAAAGGUCGGAAAAUUCAUGCACCAUUUAGGAAGUGAUUUUUCCAACCCUUGGGUAACUUCCGACCAGGGAAGAACGGUAGACGUCGAUGACAGGAAGUUUGAUGAAUGUUUGAAGUGAUUAGUUUAGCAUUGAGUUUAACUUAAUUGCAUCGAUUUAAGGUUUAAAAGGGCUUUAUUGUUUGAUUAAGUUAUAUCAGAGAUUGUUGACAAAGCAUUAAAGUUGUUGCUUGUUGUUAUUAAAUUGUGUCUUGAUUAGAACUUUUCAAGGUAAAAACGUAAAAAUGCUAUUGGUUUCGAUGAUUUAUACAUAAAACCCAGAAUAAGUAGAAAAAAUCUUAAGAAAUAACUAAAAUGAAUAU